rnacentral:rRNA from 1 species
CCUACGGGAGGCAGCAGUGAGGAAUAUUGGGCAAUGGGCGGAAGCCUGAACCAGCCAAGCAGCGUGCAGGAUGACGGUCCUACGGGUUUUAAACUGCUUUUAUACGGGAAUAACGCGCCUUACGUGGAGGGCUUUGCAUGUACCGUAUGAAUAAGGACCGGCUAAUUCCGGGCCAGCAGCCGCGGUAAUACGGAAGGUCCGGGCGUUAUCCGGAUUUCGUGGGUUGAAAGGGAGGGUAGGCUGUAUGUCAAGCGCGCUGUGAAAGAUCCGGGCUCAACCCGGGCCUUGCAGCGUGAACUGGCAUGCUUGAGUCCGCGGAAGGCAGGCGGAAUUCGAGGUGUAGCGGUGAAAUGCUUAGAUAUGACGAAGAACCCCGAUUGCGAAGGCAGCUUGCUGCAGCGGAACUGACGCUGAUGCUCGAAAGCGCGGGUAUCGAACAGGAUUAGAUACCCCAGUAGUC